AGUGAACGCUGGCGGUAGGCCUAACACAUGCAAGUCGAACGGCAGCACAGUAAGAGCUUGCUCUUACGGGUGGCGAGUGGCGGACGGGUGAGGAAUACAUCGGAAUCUACUUUUUCGUGGGGGAUAACGUAGGGAAACUUACGCUAAUACCGCAUACGACCUACGGGUGAAAGCAGGGGAUCUUCGGACCUUGCGCGAUUGAAUGAGCCGAUGUCGGAUUAGCUAGUUGGCGGGGUAAAGGCCCACCAAGGCGACGAUCCGUAGCUGGUCUGAGAGGAUGAGAAGGGAAAGGGGAAAUGAGAUACGGUCCAGACGCCUACGGGAGGCAGCAGUGGGGAAUAGGGGACAAUGGGCGCAAGCCUGAGCCAGCCGUUCAGCGUGGGUGAAGAAGGACGUCGUGAUGUAAAGGCCGGUUUGUGGGAAAGAAAAGAAGAAGGUGAAUAUCACGCGGUGCUGACGGUAGCGAAAGAAUAAGAACGGGCUAGCGUCGUG
rnacentral:rRNA from 1 species